AAUAAACGCUGGCGGCGUGCCUAACACAUGCAAGUCGAGCGAGAAAGCUCCUUCGGGAGUUAGUAAAGCGGCGAACGGGUGAGCAACACGUGAGAAUCUACCCUUUAGUGAAGAAUACCCUCGAGAAAUCGAGGCUAAUACUGCAUACGUCCCUUCGGGGAGAAAGAUGGCCUCUUUGCUAUCGCUAAAGGAUGAGCUUGCGUACUAUUAGCUAGUUGGCGGGGUAAAGGCCCACCAAGGCAAUGAUGGUUAACCGGCCUGAGAGGGUGUACGGUCACACUGGAACUUAGACACGGUCCAGACUCCUACGGGAGGCAGCAGUGAGGAAUCUUGCGCAAUGGGCGAAAGCCUGACGCAGCGACGCCGCGUGGAGGAUGACGGUUUUCGGAUUGUAAACUACCUGUUAAGCGGGAAGAAAGACCUUGUUUCUUAAUACAAGCAAGGUAUGACGGUACCGCCUAGAGAAAGCACCGGCUAACUUCGUGCCAGCAGCCGCGGUAA
rnacentral:rRNA from 1 species